GACGAACGCUGGCGGCGUGCUUAACACAUGCAAGUUGAGCGGUAAGGCCCUUUCGGGGGUACGACGAGCGGCGAACGGGUGAGUAACACGUGGGUGACCUGCCUUUAGCUCUGGGAUAAGCCUGGGAAACCGGGUCUAAUACCGGAUAUGACUCCGCGGCGCAUGUUGUGGGGUGGAAAGCCUUGUGCGGCUGGAGAUGGGCCCGCGGCCUAUCAGCUUGUUGGUGGGGUGAUGGCCUACCAAGGCGACGACGGGUAGCCGGCCUGAGAGGGCGACCGGCCACACUGGGACUGAGACACGGCCCAGACUCCUACGGGAGGCAGCAGUGGGGAAUCUUGCGCAAUGGGCGAAAGCCUGACGGAGCGACGCCGCGUGUGGGAAGAAGGCCUUCGGUCGUAACC
rnacentral:rRNA from 1 species